rnacentral:lncRNA from 1 species
GAGAUGGGGAAGAAGGUGGUAGACCUUUGAUCCUGUCAAUGUAUGAAACUUCAGAUAAGAAAAUUUAGUUUAAGAAAGGAUGUUGCCCAUGGUCACAGAGCUUCCUGAACUCAAAAAUGAGAAUUAAACCCAAGCCUUCCUCCAAGUCCAACACACUAUCCAUUAUACUAUGCCAAGCUAUUGAUGCAGAAAGAGGUAUGUGACAUAUACACACAUGGAAACAGUUUGGUAUAGUAAAAACAGCUGGAUUUUGAGGCAGAGGACCUGAGCCUGAUUCCCAACUUUGCCAUUUGUUAUUUAUAGCAACUUGGGAAAGUUACUUUUCCUUUUUGGGUAUACAGUUUUUAAUCUUUAAAAACAAGAGGUAAGACUAGAUAGAGGUGUCAAACAUGUGAUACAAUGUGGCUACAGCACUCUCAAGUGUGACCUUAAACAGAUUAAAAUAUAAUUGGGAGAUAUUUAACAAAAUAAAUAAAAGUAGGGUGGAACAUUAAUAGUGUAAAAAAUAUGGAAAGGAACAAGCCUACUAUGUUCUGGGUACUUCACAAAAUAUUUUGAUUUGAUACUGUGAGGUAUGUUCUAUUAUUAUUAUUAUCCCAAUUUUUACAGUUAAGGAAACUAUGGUAGACAUAGGUUAAGUUAAGAGGUUUUAGGCUUAUAUGUAGUUACAUCAGAUCUUGAUAUCUUCCACACGGGUAUUCUAAUAGUCAAUGUGUCAUUUGUUGGUAAGGAUAUGUAAUGUUUAGUGGCCUCCUUUCUAUUUGAGUUUGGCACCCUGGGUCAGAUAAUCUUAAGUAUUUUCUAAUCCUGAAAUUCUAUGAUGUUUCUAGAAAGGGAAACUUUCUAGAAAUUAUCCUCAAAAAAUAGCACCUUAGGUUCACAGAGUGAAGGGAUUUGGUAACUCUCUUUCAGGUGGUAGCAUCAAGGAGAAAUUGAGGGAAAGGAACAAGCCUACUAUGUUCUGGGUACUUCACAAAAUAUUUUGAUUUGAUACUGUGAGGAUUGAAAGUGGGGUACUGGAAAGAGAGAGACAAUCUUCUGAGAGGGAAGAGACAUCACUCCUAGGAUCACAGGAUUCAGAGGUGGAAGGAUCCUUAAAGGCCUUUGAAUGCAAACUUCUCAUUUUACAGAUGAGGAAAUGGUUGGCCAGAGAAGGCAUCAAGAAAGAGUUCUCUGUUUUCCUAAGAGGCACCUUCACAUCAUCGGCCUUAAAUUCUUUUAAAAAGAUAAAGCUUUCUGCUUCACAUUUAGCAUUGACUUAAAAAUGCCCCAGGAGAGAAAUCAGAAGGACACUACUUCAUCAAGGUACUAUCUUCAAGUUGAGAAUGAAGAUCAACUUCUACCAGAAAUAUUCCAGGACUAUGUGUCUACACCAAUAGGAUUUGCCCUCAUAAAAUUGGUACUAGAUUUGUCAUUUCAGUCAUACAUCCCGAUGGUGGCAGAAAACUGAUCUUCUUUUUUGAGUUGAAUUUUAUUUUUUUUUCAAUAAACUCUCAGUUUUCUCUCUUUCA